UACGAAGGGGGCUAGCGUUACUCGGAUUGACUGGGCGUAAAGGGCGCGUAGGCGGUUUGUACAGUCAGACGUGAAAUUCCUGGGCUCAACCUGGGGGCUGCGUUUGAUACGUGCGGACUUGAGUUCGGAAGAGGGUCGUGGAAUUCCCAGUGUAGAGGUGAAAUUCGUAGAUAUUGGGAAGAACACCGGUGGCGAAGGCGGCGACCUGGUCCGAUACUGACGCUGAGGCGCGAAAGCGUGGGGAGCAAACAGG
rnacentral:rRNA from 1 species